CGUCAUCACAGAAAAUGGUUCUUUGAUUUCGUGAAAUUUGCUUCUUUUUUUAUUUGCCCACUUGUACCAAGUUGUAACAAAGUUGUUGGAACCUUCUUGAUCUAUUCACCUUCAUGUUGUUCAAGAAUCUCGGAAAUGUUAGUACAACAAAAAAAUAAGAACAUUGCAAGAAAAGUUUGUCUCUUUUUUUUACUACCCAGGAUUCAAUUGGGUUCGCGUUUCGCCCCUGUUGUCCCCCCAGAAAAAAACAUGGAAUUCUGCGAGAAGUGAAAGGGGAAGAAAAUAAUGCAAUGAAGCAAAAGUGAUCCGCCUUGAGAACUAUUAUCUCAUUCACCAGCAGAGCAGGCUUGAAGAAUCGCUUAAUUAAGAAGGAUUAACAACUAAAAUGGAUGGCAUUCCGCAAUAUAAUGAAAUAAAAGUGGAAUUAUUAUUGCGUAAUAAAUAUAAAGGAAUAAAUGCGUGUAUCUCUGUGUCAUUAAGGUAAUAAAUCAUAGCAUUAUUAAUUAAGUAACACGGCUUAAUUAUGUAUUAACUUUUGAAGUUUAUAAAUG